rnacentral:tRNA from 1 species
GGGCCGCUAGCUCAUCAGGUAGAGCACAUCCCUUUUAAGGAUGGGGUAGAAGGUUCGAGUCCUUCGCGGCUCA